CCGCAAGAGAGAGACGUUAAGUACAAAGAAAAAUAAAAAACUUGCAGUCACCAACCAAAAUCCCAAAACCGCUAAUCACAGCACAGUGACACUACCAAAAAUCAAAACAAAUUUGGCGGAUGCAAAAUUUUCUUCCAUUCUCCAAUCCCACCACAACAACGAAACCACUCCAAAAUCUAAAACUGUGAAUAUAAACAAACAAUCCAAGCGAGAGAAAACAUGCUACUCCAUCCCGUGCUUCCUCUCUCUCCCUAUCCAUCUUUCGUUUCAAACCGUUCGCUCCGAUUUCGCCCUCGUUGGAGCAACUUCGUUCCUCGUCGCGCCGUCCAGUGCACUGCCGCGGUCUCCGGCGGCGACGAGUUCACUGCGAAGACGGGGUGAUUUUAGUAGAGCUUUUUAAAUGUUGAGUGCAUAAGUUUAUUUUAGUUUAGGUUAGAGCUGCUGAGCUAAGGAAAAUGUUGACAGAGUUUGGGCCGGCAUAUAUUAAAAUUGCCCAGGCUAUAUCAUCUCGUGCUGUGUGAUUGCUACGUAUGCCUUAUAACUUCAAUACCAGUUGAUAGGGAGUUAUUUAUUUUUCUAUGAACUCAGUUUUGGGGGGAGUGAGGCAUAGUACAUGUUGCCUACAUGGUACCCUUCAAUCUUGUAUCUAUCUGAUUGGGUCAGCAAUGAACUGCUCAUAAUACAUAAACAGAAAUUGUUUUUGUGAUGCACCACAGGAACACAGACCUCAGUUCAUACACCUCACUCCUGAAUCUGGACAGGCUCAAAACCCCUAUCAAUUGAAG